AGGAGGGCUGUGCAUGGGAAGGAGGACUGUGCAUGGGAAGGAGGACUGUGCAUGGGAAGGAGGGCUGUGCAUGGGAAGGAGGGCUGUGCAUGGGAAGGAGGGCUGUGCAUGGGAAGGAGGGCUGUGCAUGGGAAGGAGGGCUGUGCAUGGGAAGGAGGGCUGUGCAUGGGAAGGAGGGCUGUGCAUGGGAAGGAGGGUUGUGCAUGGGAAGGAGGGUUGUGCAUGGGAAGGAGGUGAAGGAGGACUGUGCAUGGGAAGGAGGACUGUGCAUGGGAAGGAGGUGAAGGAGGGUUGUGCAUGGAAAGGAGAGUUGCGCUUGGGAAGGAGAGCUGCGCAUGGGAAGGAGGACUGUGCAUGGGAAGGAGGACUGUGCAUGGGAAGGAGGACUGUGCAUGGGAAGGAGGUGAAGGAGGGUUGUGAAUGGGAAGGAGGGUUGUGCUUGGGAAGGAGGGCUGUGCAUGGGAAGGAGGACUGUGCAUGGGAAGGAGGACUGUGCAUGGGAAGGAGGGUUGUGCAUGGGAAGGAGGACUGUGCAUGGGAAGGAGGACUGUGCAUGGGAAGGAGGACUGUGCAUGUGAAGGAGGUGAAGGAGGGUUGUGCAUGGGAAGGAGGGUUGUGCUUGGGAAGGAGGACUGUGCAUGGGA